GAGCUGUCGCCUCCGCUCGCACCGGGGACCCAGGCGUGCGACCCGGGCCGUGGGGGAAGCGCCCUGUAGCGCACACUUUCCGUUCUGGAAGCGAGGAGUCUUAGCCGCGGGGAUCCGCUCUGUAGUGCGGGGUAGCGGAGACCAGAGUUAGCGAGGAACUUCCUGAGUUCUUGGCUGAAAAGCCUAUUAACUCGGGGCGUCUGGCCACCACCUUGAAAGGCAGGUGCCAGCUUCGGCCGGUUCUACAGCUUUACUGCUGCAAAAGCCCCAAAGAAAGUUAACUGCUUUAAGUCGGUGUGGUUUUGAGAACCAGCUCUGCCACCAUCACUUCAGAUAAAUUACCUAAAAGGGGCGUGGGAAUGCAUAAAGCCCUCUCUAUGUAGACAUGAUAAACGGAUACAAUAAUGGUUACUAAUUUUUGGGUCCUUUACAUUCAAUAAUGCCUGAUCUGUAGGACUCAGGUAUGAGGUACAAACGAACUUGUAGAAACGCGUUGGCAAAUCCAAAGUUGUUUCUUCUUCUUCUUCUUCUUCUUCUUCUUCUUCUUCUUCUUCUUCUUCUUCUUCUUCUUCUUCUUCUUCUUCUUCUUCUUCUUCUUCUUCUUCUUCUUNNCUCCUCCUCCUCCUCCUCCUCCUCCUCCUCUUUUUGUUCCCAAUGGGGAUAGAACCCAGGGUCUUGUGCAUACUGGUAAUAGCAUGCCUACUAUGUUAAGCUACAGUUCCAGCCCGUAAAAUAACUUUUAAAUGGAGACUUCUGUUAGCUGAAUCACUGUGCUGCUGAAAAAAAUGUCACAUUCCAGUCAGUACUUGGGACACCACCGAAUAACCAGACAAGAUCUGAAAUCUGGAAACAUCAAACUAGAGAUGAAUUUUGGAAAAGAAUUCUUUCCCAGCUUUAUCAAAAAACUUAGGACAAACCGGUCAUGGCUGCACACAUUCAGUCCCAGCACUCAGGAGGCAGAAGCAGGAAGAUCUCUGGGUUCCCAGACAGCUAGGCUAUACAGAGAAACCCUGCCUUGAAAACAAGACUAAACAAAAAAAGCUUAGGACAACUGUAAAGGACGAGGCCUUGUUAAAGAAGUUUUAAUAUUAAUUGUCUUAAUCUUAAUAUUAUUAAAAGCCAGACAGUUUAUGUAUUGAAAAAUGGGUUUCUAUGUAAGAUGUUUCUAUGUAGGAAAUUAACCUUCUACGUGGGAAGAAUAUUUCUCAGAAAAAUGUUAAGUCUCUAUAUAGAAGGAAUAUUUCUCAGCUGAGUGUGGUGGCACAGGCCUGGAAUUGCAGUACUUGGAAGGCCAAGACAGAAGGAUCUCAAGUUCAAGACCAACUGCGGUUUCAGAGCAAAUUGAAUGUCAGCCUAGAAUACAAAGUGAGAGCUGUUGGUUGAAAUGCAGAAGACAAGUAUUUGUAUCUCCCUUCCUCUUGAAGCUUUGUGAACAUUUCUCUGACUAGGCUAGAAUACCAGAACCAGGCAGCAGCAUUUUAAUUUGAAAUCCACAAACGAAGUGGAAAUUUCUGAUGUCUUUGGAGACUCAGUUGUGUCGUGUGAUGUUUUUCUGGAAACAUCUCAUGAGAGGAUGUUUUGCUAAGAUCAGACACUUGGUGUUUUUUUCUGAAAGCUGCCUGUAAAGGGGACAUGUGAUGCUCUGCUGGGGCAGAUGCUCCGGAAGGCAUGUGAUGUUUGGGAAGGGUAUAAGUAUAACCCAACAGACAGUGGGCACUGUAGUGGUGUUGGUUCACCUUGCCUUCUUCACCGAUCAUUGUUUGUCAUGACCACAAACACACCACAAAACUUUUCUUGAUAUUCAGGUGGCUUCUCGCCUCUUCUGCUGACUUGGACUAGCUGGCAGAGAUGGAGGUUCCUUCUGGAUGAACUGCUGUUGCUGAUUUGUGAAUGGUGUGUGUGAAUGGAUGGAGGUACUCUGCUGAUUUGUGUGAACAGAACUACUGAUACCCUGACUACAAAGAACUAUUUCCAAACAGGUCCACACCCCCCUAUGCCCUGUUAACCUUCCCUGUCCACUACCCCUGGUGGGUGGUGGGCUAGAAGGGAGGUUAAAGGGUUUAAGAACCCUUAUUAAAAGUAGGUUUUGAAAAAUCUAAGCCUACACAAACUACAUGAUUUGGAGGGGAAAUGCCCUAAGUUUAUUUAUGCAGAAGUGCAGUCUAUUUUUAUCCUUAAUUGCUUUUAAUUAUAGUGAAUAGCGAUGAAAUAAAAUGAUUUGGGGACAUUAGGGAGUGGAUGUGGAACUUUCAGGCAAUGAUCUGCAUCAUCCUUGUCUUUCAAUAUAAAGUUUAUUUCGAUGGCAUGAGAUUAAAGUGUGACCCUGAGCGGUCAGGGUUGCUGGCUUUGAAGCCCAGCUGCAGGACCUGCCUGCUGUGUGACCCUGGGCAGUGCUCAGCCCCUGACUGUGUAAGUUUCGUCAUCUGUAAUACAGAAUUUUUCCCAGCUGUAGUGGUUUUGCCCGUCUUUUUCCUUCUCGGUUCCUUCACAUUUCUCUAAUCUGGUGGUCACUGAAAGUUAGGGCAGACCUUCACUGUCAAAUUGAACCAUAAUCUUUCAAGGAUUAGAACUUGAGAUGGGAAGGUGUUUUUCUCUCUUAACGUGGAAAAUAGUCCACUCUGCUCUUCUUUUUGCACUGUUUCUGACCUCUUCUUCUACAGUGAGUUUUCUCAUCAUCAUGUAUGUUAACUGUAUUGUUUUGUUUUCUUUUUACUUAAGUUUU
rnacentral:lncRNA from 1 species